GACGGGGCACAUCUCCAGUUUGUGCCUGAAUCAAACCCCAUCUCAGCUGUCCAUCUGUCUGAUGGCUAAUCCAACGGUGUUAGAUUCACGCACAAACUCGUGAUCUGUCUCCUC
rnacentral:pre_miRNA from 1 species